rnacentral:rRNA from 1 species
GCCCUGGCAGUCAGAGGCGAUGAAGGGCGUGCUAAUCUGCGAUAAGCGCCGGUAAGGUGAUAUGAACCGUUAUAACCGGCGAUACCCGAAUGGGGAAACCCAGUGUGACUCGUCACACUAUCAUUAACUGAAUCCAUAGGUUAAUGAGGCGAACCGGGGGAACUGAAACAUCUAAGUACCCCGAGGAAAAGAAAUCAACCGAGAUUCCCCCAGUAGCGGCGAGCGAACGGGGAGGAGCCCAGAGCCUGAAUCAGCAUGUGUGUUAGUGGAAGCGUCUGGAAAGGCGCGCGAUACAGGGUGACAGCCCCGUACACAAAAGCGCAUGUGCUGUGAGCUCGAUGAGUAGGGCGGGACACGUGGUAUCCUGUCUGAAUAUGGGGGGACCAUCCUCCAAGGCUAAAUACUCCUGACUGACCGAUAGUGAACCAGUACCGUGAGGGAAAGGCGAAAAGAACCCCGGCGAGGGGAGUGAAAAAGAACCUGAAACCGUGUACGUACAAGCAGUGGGAGCACCCUUUGGGUGUGACUGCGUACCUUUUGUAUAAUGGGUCAGCGACUUAUAUUCUGUAGCAAGGUUAACCGAAUAGGGGAGCCGGAGGGAAACCGAGUCUUAAUUGGGCGUUAAGUUGCAGGGUAUAGACCCGAAACCCGGUGAUCUAGCCAUGGGCAGGUUGAAGGUUGGGUAACACUAACUGGAGGACCGAACCGACUAAUGUUGAAAAAUUAGCGGAUGACCUGUGGCUGGGGGUGAAAGGCCAAUCAAACCGGGAGAUAGCUGGUUCUCCCCGAAAGCUAUUUAGGUAGCGCCUCGUGAAUUCAUCUCCGGGGGUAGAGCACUGUUUCGGCUAGGGGGCCAUCCCGGCUUACCAACCCGAUGCAAACUGCGAAUACCGGAGAAUGUUAUCACGGGAGACACACGGCGGGUGCUAACGUCCGUCGUGAAGAGGGAAACAACCCAGACCGCCAGCUAAGGUCCCAAAGUCAUGGUUAAGUGGGAAACGAUGUGGGAAGGCCCAGACAGCCAGGAUGUUGGCUUAGAAGCAGCCAUCAUUUAAAGAAAGCGUAAUAGCUCACUGGUCGAGUCGGCCUGCGCGGAAGAUGUAACGGGGCUAAACCAUGCACCGAAGCUGCGGCAGCGACACUGUGUGUUGUUGGGUAGGGGAGCGUUCUGUAAGCCUGUGAAGGUGUGUCGUGAGGCAUGCUGGAGGUAUCAGAAGUGCGAAUGCUGACAUAAGUAACGAUAAAGCGGGUGAAAAGCCCGCUCGCCGGAAGACCAAGGGUUCCUGUCCAACGUUAAUCGGGGCAGGGUGAGUCGACCCCUAAGGCGAGGCCGAAAGGCGUAGUCGAUGGGAAACGGGUUAAUAUUCCCGUACUUGGUGUUACUGCGAAGGGGGGACGGAGAAGGCUAUGUUGGCCGGG